GACGAACGCUGGCGGCGUGCCUAAUACAUGCAAUUCGAGCGAAUCAGAUGGGAGCUUGCUCCCGGAUGAUUAGCGGCGGACGGGUGAGUAACACGUGGGCAACCUGUCCGUAAGAUUGGGAUAACUCCGGGAAACCGGUGCUAAUACCGAAUAGUUUCUGACACCUCAUGGUGUCAGAGGGAAAGUUGGCUUCGGCUAACACUUACGGAUGGGCCCGCGGCGCAUUAGCUAGUUGGUGAGGUAACGGCUCACCAAGGCGACGAUGCGUAGCCGACCUGAGAGGGUGAUCGGCCACACUGGGACUGAGACACGGCCCAGACUCCUACGGGAGGCAGCAGUAGGGAAUCUUCCGCAAUGGACGAAAGUCUGACGGAGCAACGCCGCGUGAGCGAAGAAGGCCUUCGGGUCGUAAAGCUCUGUUGUCAGGGAAGAACAAGUGCCAUUCGAACAGGCUGGCACCUUGACGGUACCUGACCAGAAAGCCACGGCUAACUACGUGCCAGCAGCCGCGGUAAUACGGAGGAUGCGAGCGUUAUCCGGAUUUAUUGGGUUUAAAGGGUGCGUAGGCGGUCUGGUAAGUCAGUGGUGAAAUCUCCGUGCUCAACGUGGAACGUGCCAUUGAUACUGUCGGACUGGAAUGGGGAUGCCGUAUGCGGAAUGUGUGGUGUAGCGGUGAAAUGCAUAGAUAUCACACAGAACACCGAUUGCGAAGGCAGCAUACGAAUCCUUGAUUUGACGCUGAUGCACGAAAGUGUGGGGAUCAAACAGGAUUAGAUACCCUGGUAGUCCACACAGUAAACGAUGAUAACUCGCUGUCGGCGAUACACAGUCGGUGGCCAAGAGAAAUCGAUAAGUUAUCCACCUGGGGAGUACGACCGCAAGGUUGAAACUCAAAGGAAUUGACGGGGGCCCGCACAAGCGGAGGAACAUGUGGUUUAAUUCGAUGAUACGCGAGGAACCUUACCCGGGCUCGAACGGCUGGUGAACGAUUCAGAGAUGGAGAGGUCCUUUGGGACACCAGUCGAGGUGCUGCAUGGUUGUCGUCAGCUCGUGCCGUGAGGUGUCGGCUUAAGUGCCAUAACGAGCGCAACCCUUGCUGAUAGUUACCAUCAGGUAAUGCUGGGGACUCUAUCAGGACUGCCGCCGUAAGGUGAGAGGAAGGGGGGGAUGACGUCAAAUCAGCACGGCCCUUACGUCCGGGGCGACACACGUGUUACAAUGGCAGGUACAGAGGGCGGCCAGGCAGCGAUGCCGCGCAAAUCUCGAAAGCCUGUCUCAGUUCGGAUUGGAGUCUGCAACUCGACUCCAUGAAGUUGGAUUCGCUAGUAAUCGCGCAUCAGCCAUGGCGCGGUG
rnacentral:rRNA from 1 species